rnacentral:rRNA from 1 species
AACGAACGCUGGCGGCGCGCCUAAUACAUGCAAGUCGAGCGAGAAGGUGUAGCAAUACACUUGUAAAGCGGCGAACGGGUGAGGAAUACAUGGGUAAUCUACCAUCGAGUGGGGAAUAACCAACCGAAAGGUUGGCUAAUACCGCGUACGCCUCCGAGUCUUCGGGUUCGGAGGGAAAGCUGCACUGUGAGUGUAGCGCUCUUUGAUGAGCUCAUGUCCUAUCAGCUUGUUGGUAGGGUAACGGCCUACCAAGGCUUUGACGGGUAGCUGGUCUGAGAGGACGAUCAGCCACACUGGCACUGCGACACGGGCCAGACUCCUACGGGAGGCAGCAGUAAGGAAUAUUGCGCAAUGGGCGAAAGCCUGACGCAGCGACGCCGCGUGGGGAUGAAGGUCUUCGGAUUGUAAACCCCUUUCGGGAGGGAAGAUGGAACGAGCAAUCGUUCGGACGGUACCUCCAGAAGCAGCCACGGCCAACUUCGUGCCAGCAGCCG